GCGUUGUUUCUUCCUCUCCAACUGUUUCCACAGUACUUUCAGUUUCUCUUCGUUUUGUUUUUCUUUUAUUUUUCUUGCUCCUCUUUCUACACACUGAAGUUGCUGUUGUUUUACAUUUACCUUUUAUUUAUUUGUAGUUUUUGAGGCAGGUUGGAGUGUAAGAAUGCAAUCUCGGCUUACAGCCGCCUCGACUUUCCAGGACUCCCUCAGGUGAUCUUCCUAUCUCAGCCUUCCAAGUGGCUGAGACUACAGGAAUCACUUAAUUCUGUGAUGUCGAAGCUGAAGUGAGCCGUGAUGAUGCCUUGCCCUCCAGUCUGAGUGUUUCAGAAGGUGGAGUUUCGCUCUUAUUGCCCAGGCUGGAGUUCAGUGGCGUGACCUCAGCUCACCGCAACCUCUGCCGCCUGUGUUCAAGAGAUUUUCCAGUCUUCACCCUUUCGAGUAGCUGAAACCACAGGCAAACACCUCCAGGCCUGGCUAAUUUUUUUUUUUUCAUAGAGACUAGGUAGCUCCAUAAUGGUCAGGCUGGUCUAGAACACCCAACCUGAGGCGUACCACCCAACUUGACCACCCAAAGUGCUGAGAUUAAAGGCGUGAGCUCCGCGUCUGGCCAUAACAUCUUAUCCUAUAGAAGCCCAGAGAGGUUAGGCGUCAUCUCACGUGUCGAGGUGAUCUCGAACUUUUAGGCUCCAGAGAUCCUCCCGCAUCGGCCUCCCGGAGUGCUGUGAUGACACGCGUGGGCACGACGGAGUUUCACUCUUGUCGCCCAGGGUGGAGUACGAUGGCGGCUCUCGGCUCACCGCACCCUCCGCCUCCCAGGUUCAAGUGAUUCUCCUGCCUCAGCCUUCCCGAGUAGCUGGAAUGACAGAGAUGAGCCAUCGUGCCCGGCUAAUUUUUCUAUUUUUACUACAGAUGGGGUUUCUCCAUCUUGGUCAGGCUGGUCUUCAACUUCCGACCGUUGGAGAAUCUUAACUUUCUUGGUGGUGGUUGUUUUCCUUUUUCUUUUUUUUCUUUUCUUUUCUUUCCUUCUCCUCCCCCCCCACCCCCCCUUGUCGUCGUCCUCCUCCUCCUCCUCCUCCUCCUCCUCCUCCUCCUCCUCCUCCUCCUCUUUCAUUUCUUUCAGCUGGGCUCUCCUACGUGUGUUGCUCUGUUGCUCACGCUGGUCUCAAACUCCUGGCCUUGACGCUUCUCCCGUCACAUCCGCCGUCUGGUUGUUGAAAUGAGCAUCUCUCGUAAAAUGGAAAAGAUGAAAGAAAUAAACACGAAGACGGAAAGCACGGUGUGAACGUUUCUCUUGCCGUCUCCCGGGGUGUACCUUGGACCCGGAAACACGGAGGGAGCUUGGCUGAGUGGGUUUUCGGUGCCGAAACCUCCCGAGGGCCUCCUUCCCUCUCCCCCUUGUCCCCGCUUCUCCCCCAGCCGAGGCUCCCACCGCCGCCCUGGCAUUUUCCAUAGGAGAGGUAUGGGAGAGGACUGACACGCCUUCCAGAUCUAUAUCCUGCCGGACGUCUCUGGCUCGGCGUGCCCCACCGGCUACCUGCCACCUUCCAGGGAGCUCUGAGGCGGAUGCGACCCCCACCCCCCCGUCACGUCCCGCUACCCUCCCCCGGCUGGCCUUUGCCGGGCGACCCCAGGGGAACCGCGUUGAUGCUGCCUUCGGAUCCUCCGGCGAAGACUUCCACCGGAUGCCCCGGGUGGGCCGGUUGGGAUCAGACUGGACCACCCCGGACCGUGCUGUUCUUGGGGCACACAGAUGAGACGCACGAGAGGGAGAAACAGCUCAAUAGAUACCGCUGACCUUCAUUUGUGGAAUCCUCAGUCAUCGACACACAAGACAGACGGAGUCUCGCUCUGGGCGGGGCGAGGCGAGGCGAGGCACAGCGCAUCGCUUUGGAAGCCGCGGCAACGCCUUUCAAAGCCCCAUUCGUAUGCACAGAGCCUUAUUCCCUUCCUGGAGUUGGAGCUGAUGCCUUCCGUAGCCUUGGGCUUCUCUCCAUUCGGAAGCUUUGACAGGCGCAACCCCACCCAGAGGCUGGCUGCGGCUGAGGAUUAGGGGGCUGCGGUGCGGUGGCGCUCUCUCGGCUCACUGAAACCUCUGCUUCCCGGGUUCCAGUGAUUCUUCUUCGGUAGCUGGGAUUACAGGCGCACACCAUGACGGCCGGCUCAUAUUCCUAUUUUCAGUAGAGACGGGGUUUCUCCACGUUGGCCACGCUGGUCUCGAACUCCUGACCUCAAAUGAUCCGCCUUCCUGGGCCUCCCAAAGUGCUGGAAACGACAGGCCUGAGCCGCCGGGAUUUCAGCCUUUAAAAGCGCGGGCCCUGCCACCUUUCGCUGUGGCCCUUACGCUCAGAAUGACGUGUCCUCUCUGCCGUAGGUUGACUCCUUGAGUCCCCUAGGCCAUUGCACUGUAGCCUGGGCAGCAAGAGCCAAACUCCGUCCCCCCACCUCCCCGCGCACAUAAUAACUAACUAACAAACUAACUAACUAACUAAACUAACUAAAUAAAUAAAAUCUCUACACGUC
rnacentral:lncRNA from 1 species